rnacentral:rRNA from 1 species
CUACGGGUUGCUGCAGUGGGGAAUAUUGCACAAUGGGCGAAAGCCUGAUGCAGCGACGCCGCGUGAGCGAUGAAGUAUUUCGGUAUGUAAAGCUCUAUCAGCAGGGAAGAAAAAAUGACGGUACCUGACUAAGAAGCUCCGGCUAAAUACGUGCCAGCAGCCGCGGUAAUACGAAUGGAGCAAGCGUUAUCCGGAUUUACUGGGUGUAAAGGGAGCGUAGGCGGUCUUAUAAGUCUGAUGUGAAAGCCCGGGGCUCAACCUCGGGACUGCAUUGGAAACUGUAGGACUAGAGUGUCGGAGGGGUAAGUGGAAUUCCUAGUGUAGCGGUGAAAUGCGUAGAUAUUAGGAGGAACACCAGUGGCGAAGGCGGCUUACUGGACGAUUACUGACGCUGAGGCUCGAAAGCGUGGGGAGCAAACAGGAUUAGAUACCCCAGUAGUC